AAGACUUUAGAUAUGAUCCAGAGUACCACGGGACACGUGAAACCCUGUGGGAAGCAGGAGGGACCACCCUCCAAGGCUAAAUACUACCUAGUGACCGAUAGCGUAUAGUACCGUGAGGGAAAGGUGAAAAGAACCCCGGGAGGGGAGUGAAAUAGAACCUGAAACCCUGCACUUACAAGCUGUGGAAGCACAUUUCUUGUGUGACCGCGUACUUUUUGUAGAACGGGCCAACGAGUUACGUUAAGUAGCAAGGUUAAGCACUUAAGGUGCGGAGCCGUAGCGAAAGCGAGUUUUAACUGAGCGUUCAGUUACUUGACGUAGACCCGAAACCGGGCGACCUACCCAUGAGCAGGAUGAAGCGAAAGUAAAAUUUCGUGGAGGUCCGAACCCACGGGCGUUGAAAAGCUCGGGGAUGACUGGUGGGUAGCGGUGAAAUUCCAAUCGAGCCCGGAGAUAGCUGGUUCUCCCCGAAAUAGCUUUAGGGCUAGCCUCAAGGUGAGAGAUACGGAGGUAGAGCACUGAAUGUCCUAGGGGGUAUUGCACCUACCGAAGACUAUCAAACUCCGAAUGCCGUCAUCUUAUACUUGGGAGUCAGACUGUGGGUGAUAAGAUUCAUAGUCGAAAGGGCAACAGCCCAGAUCGUCAGCUAAGGUCCCUAAAUGUAAGUUAAGUGG
rnacentral:rRNA from 1 species